UACGUAGGGUCCGAGCGUUGUCCGGAAUUACUGGGCGUAAAGAGCUCGUAGGUGGUUUGCCGCGUUGUUCGUGAAAACUCACAGCUCAACUGUGGGCGUGCGGGCGAUACGGGCAGACUAGAGUACUGCAGGGGAGACUGGAAUUCCUGGUGUAGCGGUGAAAUGCGCAGAUAUCAGGAGGAACACCGGUGGCGAAGGCGGGGUCUCUGGGCCGUAACUGACGCUGAGGAGCGAAAGCAUGGGGGAGCGAACAGG
rnacentral:rRNA from 1 species